CCGGCGAUGUCCGAAUGGGGAAACCCAGUGCAAUUCGUUGCACUAUCGUUAACUGAAUACAUAGGUUAACGAGGCGAACCGGGGGAACUGAAACAUCUAAGUACCCCGAGGAAAAGAAAUCAACCGAGAUUCCCCCAGUAGCGGCGAGCGAACGGGGAGCAGCCCAGAGUCUGAAUCAGCUUGUGUGUUAGUGGAACGGUCUGGAAAGUCCGACGGUACAGGGUGAUAGUCCCGUACACCAAAAUGCACAGGCUGUGAACUCGAAGAGUAGGGCGGGACACGUGGUAUCCUGUCUGAAUAUGGGGGGACCAUCCUCCAAGGCUAAAUACUCCUGACUGACCGAUAGUGAACCAGUACCGUGAGGGAAAGGCGAAAAGAACCCCGGCGAGGGGAGUGAAAAAGAACCUGAAACCGUGUACGUACAAGCAGUGGGAGCACCUUCGGGUGUGACUGCGUACCUUUUGUAUAAUGGGUCAGCGACUUAUAUUCUGUAGCAAGGUUAACCGUAUAGGGGAGCCGCAGGGAAACCGAGUCUUAACUGGGCGUUAAGUUGCAGGGUAUAGACCCGAAACCCGGUGAUCUAGCCAUGGGCAGGUUGAAGGUUGGGUAACACUAACUGGAGGACCGAACCGACUAAUGUUGAAAAAUUAGCGGAUGACUUGUGGCUGGGGGUGAAAGGCCAAUCAAACCGGGAGAUAGCUGGUUCUCCCCGAAAGCUAUUUAGGUAGCGCCUCGUGAAUUCAUCUUCGGGGGUAGAGCACUGUUUCGGCUAGGGGGUCAUCCCGACUUACCAACCCGAUGCAAACUACGAAUACCGAAGAAUGUUAUCACGGGAGACACACGGCGGGUGCUAACGUCCGUCGUGAAGAGGGAAACAACCCAGACCGCCAGCUAAGGUCCCAAAGUCAUGGUUAAGUGGGAAACGAUGUGGGAAGGCACAGACAGCCAGGAUGUUGGCUUAGAAGCAGCCAUCAUUUAAAGAAAGCGUAAUAGCUCACUGGUCGAGUCGGCCUGCGCGGAAGAUGUAACGGGGCUAAACCAUGCACCGAAGCUGCGGCAGCGACACUAUGUGUUGUUGGGUAGGGGAGCGUUCUGUAAGCCUGCGAAGGUGACCUGUGAGGGUUGCUGGAGGUAUCAGAAGUGCGAAUGCUGACAUAAGUAACGAUAAAGCGGGUGAAAAGCCCGCUCGCCGGAAGACCAAGGGUUCCUGUCCAACGUUAAUCGGGGCAGGGUGAGUCGACCCCUAAGGCGAGGCCGAAAGGCGUAGUCGAUGGGAAACAGGUUAAUAUUCCUGUACUUGGUGUUACUGCGAAGGGGGGACGGAGAAGGCUAUGUUAGCCGGGCGACGGUUGUCCCGGUUUAAGCAUGUAGGCUGGUUAUCCAGGCAAAUCCGGAUAAUCAAGGCUGAGGUGUGAUGACGAGGCACUACGGUGCUGAAGUAACAAAUGCCCUGCUUCCAGGAAAAGCCUCUAAGCAUCAGGUAACAUCAAAUCGUACCCCAAACCGACACAGGUGGUCAGGUAGAGAAUACCAAGGCGCUUGAGAGAACUCGGGUGAAGGAACUAGGCAAAAUGGUGCCGUAACUUCGGGAGAAGGCACGCUGGUGUGUAGGUGAAGUCCCUGCGGAUGGAGCUGAGACCAGUCGAAGAUACCAGCUGGCUGCAACUGUUUAUUAAAAACACAGCACUGUGCAAACACGAAAGUGGACGUAUACGGUGUGACGCCUGCCCGGUGCCGGAAGGUUAAUUGAUGGGGUUAUCCGUAAGGAGAAGCUCUUGAUCGAAGCCCCGGUAAACGGCGGCCGUAACUAUAACGGUCCUAAGGUAGCGAAAUUCCUUGUCGGGUAAGUUCCGACCUGCACGAAUGGCGUAAUGAUGGCCAGGCUGUCUCCACCCGAGACUCAGUGAAAUUGAACUCGCUGUGAAGAUGCAGUGUACCCGCGGCAAGACGGAAAGACCCCGUGAACCUUUACUAUAGCUUGACACUGAACAUUGAGCCUUGAUGUGUAGGAUAGGUGGGAGGCUUUGAAGCGUGGACGCCAGUCUGCGUGGAGCCGACCUUGAAAUACCACCCUUUAAUGUUUGAUGUUCUAACGUUGGCCCCUUACCGGGGUUGCGGACAGUGUCUGGUGGGUAGUUUGACUGGGGCGGUCUCCUCCCAAAGCGUAACGGAGGAGCACGAAGGUUAGCUAAUCCUGGUCGGACAUCAGGAGGUUAGUGCAAUGGCAUAAGCUAGCUUGACUGCGAGCGUGACGGCGCGAGCAGGUGCGAAAGCAGGUCAUAGUGAUCCGGUGGUUCUGAAUGGAAGGGCCAUCGCUCAACGGAUAAAAGGUACUCCGGGGAUAACAGGCUGAUACCGCCCAAGAGUUCAUAUCGACGGCGGUGUUUGGCACCUCGAUGUCGGCUCAUCACAUCCUGGGGCUGAAGUAGGUCCCAAGGGUAUGGCUGUUCGCCAUUUAAAGUGGUACGCGAGCUGGGUUUAGAACGUCGUGAGACAGUUCGGUCCCUAUCUGCCGUGGGCGCUGGAGAAUUGAGGGGGGCUGCUCCUAGUACGAGAGGACCGGAGUGGACGCAUCACUGGUGUUCGGGUUGUCAUGCCAAUGGCACUGCCCGGUAGCUAAAUGCGGAAGAGAUAAGUGCUGAAAGCAUCUAAGCACGAAACUUGCCCCGAGAUGAGUUCUCCCUGAGACUUUAAGUCUCCUGAAGGAACGUUAAAGACGAUGACGUUGAUAGGCCGGGUGUGUAAGCGCAGCGAUGCGUUGAGCUAACCGGUACUAAUGAACCGUGAGGCUUAACCUUACAACGCCGAAG
rnacentral:rRNA from 1 species